AGUGAAUGCUGGCGGUAUGCUUAACACAUGCAAGUCGAGCGAGAACGGCCUUUAGCUUGCUAAAGGUGUCAGCUAAGCGGCGGACGGGUGAGUAAUGCAUAGCUAACCUGCCUUUUGGAAAGGGAUAACAGUUGGAAACGACUGCUAAUACUUUAUACUCCGUUAUAACUCAAGUUAUAAUGGGAAACGCUUUUGUGCCAAAAGAUGGAGCUAUGUCCUAUCAGCUUGUUGGUGAGGUAACGGCUCACCAAGGCUAUGACGGGUAGCUGGUUUGAGAGGAUGAUCAGCCACACUGGAACUGAGACACGGUCCAG
rnacentral:rRNA from 1 species